rnacentral:rRNA from 1 species
CACGUAGGGGGCAAGCGUUGUCCGGAUUUAUUGGGCGUAAAGAGCUCGUAGGCGGUUCGGUAAGUCGGGUGUGAAACCUCCAGGCUCAACCUGGAGACGCCACCUGAUACUGCUGUGACUCGAGUCCGGUAGGGGAGCGUGGAAUUCCUGGUGUAGCGGUGAAAUGCGUAGAUAUCGGGAGGAACAUCAGUGGCGAAGGCGGGUCUCUGGGCCGAUACUGACGCUGGAGGAGCGAAAGCGUGGGGAGCGAACAGG